AUACGUAGGGGGCGAGCGUUGUCCGGAAUUACUGGGCGUAAAGGGCGUGUAGGCGGCCUGUUAAGUCAGGCGUGAAAACCCCGGGCUUAACCUGGGGACUGCGUUUGAAACUGGCGGGCUUGAGGGCAGGAGAGGAAAGUGGAAUUCCCGGUGUAGCGGUGAUAUGCGUAGAUACCGGGAGGAACACCAGUGGCGAAGGCGGCUUUCUGGACUGUCCCUGACGCUGAGGCGCGAAAGCCAGGGGAGCGAACGGGAUUAGAUACCCCGGUAGUCCUGGCUGUAAACGAUGGGUACUAGGUGUGGGGGGUAUCGACCCCCCCCGUGCCGGAGUUAACACAAUAAGUACCCCGCCUGGGGAGUGCGGCCGCAAGGUUGAA
rnacentral:rRNA from 1 species